rnacentral:rRNA from 1 species
UCGCGGCCUAUCAGCUUGUUGGUGGGGUGAUGGCCUACCAAGGCGACGACGGGUAGCCGGCCUGAGAGGGUGUCCGGCCACACUGGGACUGAGAUACGGCCCAGACUCCUACGGGAGGCAGCAGUGGGGAAUAUUGCACAAUGGGCGCAAGCCUGAUGCAGCGACGCCGCGUGGGGGAUGACGGCCUUCGGGUUGUAAACCUCUUUCAGCAGGGACGAAGGGUGACUGACGGUACCUGUAGAAGAAGCACCGGCCAACUACGUGCCAGCAGCCGCGGUAAUACGUAGGGUGCGAGCGUUGUCCGGAAUUACUGGGCGUAAAGAGCUCGUAGGUGGUUUGUCGCGUUGUUCGUGAAAACUCACAGCUUAACUGUGGGCGUGCGGGCGAUACGGGCAGACUGGAGUACUGCAGGGGAGACUGGAAUUCCUGGUGUAGCGGUGGAAUGCGCAGAUAUCAGGAGGAACACCGGUGGCGAAGGCGGGUCUCUGGGCAGUAACUGACGCUGAGGAGCGAAAGCGUGGGGAGCGAACAGGAUUAGAUACCCUGGUAGUCCACGCCGUAAACGGUGGGUACUAGGUGUGGGUUUCCUUCCUUGGGAUCCGUGCCGUAGCUAACGCAUUAAGUACCCCGCCUGGGGAGUACGG